rnacentral:rRNA from 1 species
GACGAACGCUGGCGGCGUGCUUAACACAUGCAAGUCGAACGGAAAGGCCCUGCUUUUGUGGGGUGCUCUAGUGGCGAACGGGUGAGUAACACGUGAGUAACCUGCCCUUUACUUUGGGAUAACUUCAGGAAACUGGGGCUAAUACCGGAUAGUAGCUCCUGCUGCAUGGUGGGGGUUGGAAAGUUUCGGCGGUUGGGGAUGGACUCGCGGCUUAUCAGCUUGUUGGUGGGGUAGUGGCUUACCAAGGCUUUGACGGGUAGCCGGCCUGAGAGGGUGACCGGCCACAUUGGGACUGAGAGACGGCCCAGACGCGUACGGGAGGCAGCAGUGGGGAAUAUUGCACAAUGGGGGGAAGCCUGAUGCAGCAACGCCGCGUGCGGGAUGAAGGCCUUCGGGUUGUAAACCGCUUUCGCCUGUGACGAAGCGUGAGUGACGGUAAUGGGUAAAGAAGCACCGGCUAACUACGUG